GGAGAUACCAUGAUCACGAAGGUGGUUUUCCCAGGGCGAGGCUUAUCCAUUGCACUCCGGAUGUGCUGACCCCUGCGAUUUCCCCAAAUGUGGGAAACUCGACUGCAUAAUUUGUGGUAGUGGGGGACUGCGUUCGCGCUUUCCCCUGGCUUCUUGUAGUCUGAAUGGAAGAGCUUGGACUUAGCUACGCUGUGAGGUGGUACGUUUCUGCUUCGCCCCCGCGGUACGGUCACGGUGCUGCUGUUGCCAUUGCGUUGUAGUUCUCGUACUAGCGCGUCCCGCAGAAAAGUAGAAGCGCGCUUCUCGGUUUUUGCUUGGUUUUGUUUUGUUUUUCUUUACCUCGUUUUUCGCCAACCAUAGCCCGCCUACUGCGGCAGCACGGAGAAGAUCUUUCCGGUCGCCUGAGAACGUGGUGAUAGGCGAGCACGUGAGAGUUUGCGGGGGCCAGGAGACGGCGCAGAAGUACAUCUUCGCUUCGUGGUCGUUUUCUUUUCUUUGCACAAGAUGGUCCCUAAAUGUUUCGUAAGUGCCACACCACGAGAGAGUAUUGGAACCAGUUUUUGGUUUGGUUUUGUUUUACGGGGAACCAGCAGCUGAGCUGUGGAAUACUUCCAUUGUUCUGGAGGUACAAAGUAGCAUCUUUCCUAAAGUAUGCCCUUGAGGGAGUAACCUACAUUCUUCACCUUCUUUGUGUGUUUUGUGACAAGGUCCUUCCUUGGAUAGUGCGGUCAACUCAUUUAUGUGUGUUUUUGUUAAGCACCCUGCCCCACACUAAUAUGUAACUUGCUGCUUCCACUCUACCCCCACCCCAACAGACACCGUAACCAUGUAAACCAGGGACCAAGGGAUGUACCUACCACUCCUUACCCUUGCCCGGAAUAAGGCCCCCUUGGUACAAACAAGCAGAUUAGCGGAUGGAUAGGUGCGACACUGUAUUACUGCCUUUUGCCCCGUACUUGCUGUUUCUUAGCAUUUACACAGCACCUUCACGUUUUCAAAGCACUGUACCAAUGUUUAUUAAUCCUCACAACACCCCUGUGAGGUAGGUAGGUCAGUAUGUCCUUUGUAGUAGAGAAACUGAGGCAGACAGAGGUCAAGCGAACCAAACCUGCCUAGUCCACAAGGGCAGCCGGCGAAGGGACUGCACCGGAGUCCCGAAGCCAGGGCUCUCUGUCCCGUUCAUCCACUGGUGAGCAUCGCGUGGGCGUCUUCUCACCAGUGAAAGGUGGACAGACAGGAGGACCAAACACACAGAUUUCUCAGGCAAACGGGGGGGGGGGGGGGGGGGGGGGGGUAGUACAAACGACAUCAGGGAAUAACCAGGGAACAACGCCAGUGAAAGAGAGAAACGUGAACCAGCACACCAGUAAGGCAAGAGAACAUGCUGGAGAGCAAGGCUGGGAUCGUGGUGACUACUCAGAAGACCUAGACCGGGGGGGGGGGGGGGGGGGG